CUAUAACAAAGAAGACUACUACACUGAUAUGCAAGACCCUGGAAGGACUCUGACAGAAUCUUGAAGAGGAUAUUUCUUGCUUCUUUGUUCAUAAAUGGUUGAAUGGAAUCUCCUCAGAUUUCCGAUGAAAAGUCACAUCUGUGAUGGGACAAAGCAGGGACAUUUUCAGCCCCAAAGUUUAAGAUUUUAGAUUCUUGAGCUAGUAUGGUUUCCUGUGAUGAACACAGAUGGGAAGAGCUCCAGACCCUGAGAUGCAGAAAUUAAGUUACAAAGAGAGGAGGCCUGAUCCUGUAUGGUAUUGAGCAUCUUCUGCGAGGUGAUGAGCAUCCUCAUAUCUGUACAGGAUCAGGUCC